CCUACGGGAGGCAGCAGUCGGGAAUAUUGCGCAAUGGAGGAAACUCCGACGCAGUGACGCCGCGUGCAGGAAGAAGGUUUUCGGAUUGUAAACUGCUUUAGACAGGGGAGAAAAACGACAGUACCUGUAGAAUAAGCUCCGUCGCACUACGUGCCAGCACCCGCGGUAAUACGGCGGGAGCAAGCGUUAUACGGAUUUAAUGGGUGUAAAGGGUGCGUAGGCGGAGAAGCAAGUUAGUUGUGAAAUCCCUCGGCUUAACUGAGGAACUGCAACUAAAACUACUUCCCUUGAGUACUGGAGAAGAAAGUGGAAUUCCUAGUGUAGCGGUGAAAUGCGUAGAUAUUAGGAGGAACACCAGUGGCGAAGGCGACUUUCUGGACAGUAACUGACGUUGAGGCACGAAAGUGUGGGGAGCAAACAGGAUUAGAUACCCCUGUAGUC
rnacentral:rRNA from 1 species